rnacentral:pre_miRNA from 1 species
AAAGAGUAUAUCUUUUCACUGUUUAUACUCAAUGUUUGAUUAUCUGUUUUAUUUAAAAACGUUUUAUGAUUAUUAUUUUCAUUGUUAUGAGAUGAUAAAACAUGGAUAAUUGACUAUUUUUAAAAAAAUCACAAAAUUUUCAAAUAAUAUGAACGGUCAAACAUGGAACACGGAAAACUACAAAUUAAGUUAAU